ACUGCUCUCUACGAACAUUAUGCGCAGUACUAAGGAAUGGACGGCAGUGAUGAGAUGGUAGCAAGAGGUUUCCGACAUUUUGGGCCCGUGAUGUCGAAAAGUUCGUUCUUGAAGAAAGAAGAACGAAACUAUCAUGGAGGUUUUACAACCAACUAGCUUAAUAUGGACCGUGUUUCAUACCUGCAAAUCGACCGUAUGUUCUGCAGUUGUACCACGUUGCAUCCAGGCAUUUUUAAGGAAAAAUCUAUUGCCCCGCAGAAUCCGGGGGGUAAUAGCAUUUUGUCUAUUGCUCCCCCGGAAUCUGUGGGGCAAUAGGCGUCACCCAUGUUUAAUGUAAAGCUGUUUGCUUUGGGUGAAAUUUAUGCAGUAUAAAGUUCUGGAUGAUAAAAUUGCAUUUGGGAUGUGACCCAAACUACUGGAUCUCUGUCUCGCAAUGACAUCUGGCAAAGGUUUCCUGUUGCUGAUGUGCUAGCCAUGAUACUGACAGAUCUUUGUAACAUUUUUAGAAGAAGCACGAAGUGGAGCUUUUUGGAGAACCCGACAAAGAUAUCAAAGCUGUCUUCAACAUGAAAGGACAUGGUAGAAGAAUUACCAACUGUUGGGCGGUCAGCUGUAGGUGUUUGUUACGAAAAAGUACGAAAAUCAAACAAUGAUGGUCGCUAUGGUGGUUGUCCCGAAAACUCAGCCGAAUGCGAAGCUCGUUAAGAAGCAGCGUACUACUUCAUGAGAACCACGAAUUAUGCACACCGAGGCCAAACAGUAAGGGCCUCUAGGGUAAUUAUCUAGACAGAAUGUCGAUCAACUCGUCGUUACUGUCUGAUAUUAACACAUCUGCGAGCAAGGACCUUUACGGGCUAUGGGAUCCUCAAAACGUAUGACAACGAGCCCAUAUUCAAGUUGUAGCUCGAAAGUUCUACAACUAAUGUUUUCCCUGAACAUCAAUGCAGCAUGGAAUGCUUUACAGAUGCCUAAUGCGAGAUGUGGAAAAUGCUUGACAGAAUGUGUAGGCUAUUUUGAUUAGACACAUUGGUACCUAAGGUUUCUUGUGUUGGGUACAUCAAAGCAGAAAUAAUUGUACUACAAAAAAUGUGCAAGGCAUGCUGGUCUGUUCUUCACAAUUAUGAGAGCUUUCAACUCCAUCUAUCUAAAACCUCCUGGCCUUUGGUCUUAUUAUUUGACCAGCUAUUGCAAAUCAAGUCGAGGUUAGUUUCAAAACGAAGAGGAAAGAAUACUAUAGAAUUUGUGGUGUUUGCAUCAGCAAUGGACCCUUCUUCUAUUUCAGAAUCGCAAGGCUUUUGCGGUCCAAUCUGAGUGAAAACUGCUGUGUAACUUAUUACAUGAGGAACUGGCGAUUUUUGGAGAUGGUUACACCUGAUUAAAUUCUUCUGAAAGAGAAGCAUUUGCCUAUGGAUAAUGGUAACCCCAAGUGCGUCAAAACUUCGUUCCUAAAAAGAAGUUUCUAGUACCUGGCCAAGGAAACAGUUUUUAGCCUUAUUAUAUGACAAACCUUCCGAAGUCGCACUAAGUUGAAUUUAUUAAUGAAGGGGAAAGAAAACUUCAAAAAAAAUUGGAGCUUUGCAUUGUCGAAGAAUUUCUAUUGGGUCGGAUUUCAAAAGUGCUAGCCUUGGGCGUUAUUAAAUGUUCAGUCGUCUAUGGUUCUUCAAUAAUUUGUUCCACGUGCUAUUGCGUGACUAUUGUUAGAAUUUCGCCAUCCAAGUUAUGAGGAAACUCGUGUAGCUUCUCAAUUCAUGAUGAACAAAGGAUUCGCGAUCGCCAUUGGAGAUGUUGCAUUUGAAGAAGCAGAUGAGGCAGGCAAUAGUUAUCUGUUGCUGUACAGUGCGCUCGCGGCCUCUCCGGUGUUAGCAGUGCAAUUGGCACAUGAAACGAUGUUUCAACGAAUACGAAUGCAGUCGUCUUUCGGUUCAGCGUUGGAUAAGGAAAUAGGCAACGGUUAUGAUGUGUCCGGCAGUAUGUUCCAUUACGAUCGCCGUAACGGAACACGUUUUACGUAAUUUCGUUUUCUAUGUCCGGACAUUGGAAACAUUUUAGGUGAUAUUCUUUGUUUGUUGCUCGUGCUGCCACAUGAAACCUGUCGUUGGCUUAUUUUGAGAAAAUGUGCAUGUCCUAUAUCGUUCUUUGUACCAUA